UCCCGUAAAUGAUCUAGAGAACAAUCUAAGAAUUCUAAGGUUUGGAAGCUUGUCCAAGGUUUGCAUUGGAUCCUCUGCCAUUUCAGAUGCGGACAAGGUGAGUUCAAUAAGACUCUGGGGUAACUCAGAUACAAGAAGCUGAUUCUUUAGCUUUCCGACCAAAUACAAACUGCAGAGAUCCUUGUGGUUUAAUAAAGUCUGCAAGUACAGAUCCCAAGGCUGACCUGAUUCAUCAUAUGAUUUCAAUCUCAAAUAUUCAAGAUGUUUCAGGUUCAUAACCCAAUUUGCCACUGUUACCAGCUGUGAGGACAGUGCCUCAUUUUGAGAUGAAACCGAUGUCUUGCACUUCAGUCCUAAUUUGGUAAUCCUGCGCAAA
rnacentral:misc_RNA from 1 species